AGAGAAAUCAUACUUCAGAUACAGACCCACGAACGAAGUCUUCGUUGUAACUGUGACAGCGCGCAGAGCCACCUAGCGGAUUUCCGGCACACCAAGAGCCCGCGUGUAUAGGCAUUCUAACUCUGCAGACACAAUUGUGUAGAGGUCAUAUAUACGACAGCAACAUUUCACGUGGCAAUACGACCAUGAAAAUGACGUCCAUGGCUACAUUAUCUGCCUUCCUGGCUAUCUUUCUGUCGUGCUGCAGCAUGCAUUGCUCAGCUGCGGGAGGAUUCUCUCACGGGCAAUCUCACACCAGGGACGUACGGCGGCUAUCAUAACAGCGGAAUCAUUCGGUACGCUUGUUACUACGCCGGAGAGUCAACAAAUCACGUGACUCGUUACGGCGAUGACGUAAUUUUUCUCGUUG